ensembl:rRNA 5S_rRNA 5S ribosomal RNA
GUCUACGGCCAUCCCACUCUGAACGCGUCUGAUCUCAUCUGAUCUCGGAAGCUAAGCAGGGUGGGGCCUGGUUAGUACUUGGUUGGGAGACCGUGUGGAAAUACCGGGUACUGUAGGCU